AGCGAGCGCUGGCGGCAUGCUUAACACAUGCAAGUCGCACGGUCGGGCUUUCGGGCCUGGUAGUGGCGGACGGGUGAGUAUCGCGUAGGGAUUUAUCGUUGGGGUGGGGAGUAACCUUACGGUAACGUAGGGCGUAAUACCGCAUGACGCCUGUGGGCCAAAGUUAGUUAAUGGCGCCUGACGAGGAGCCUGCGUCCGAUUAGCUA
rnacentral:rRNA from 1 species